GAUUUUUCUGCUCUUCAAUCAAU
rnacentral:snRNA from 1 species